UGGAGAUAUGGCUCUGUUGGAAU
rnacentral:miRNA from 1 species